UACGGGGGGGGCAAGCGUUGUUCGGAAUUACUGGGCGUAAAGGGUUUGUAGGUGGCUUGUUAAGUCAGACGUGAAAUCCCUCAGCUUAACUGGGGAACUGCGUCUGAUACUGGCGAGCUUGAGUGCAGGAGAGGAACGCGGAAUUCCAGGUGUAGCGGUGAAAUGCGUAGAUAUCUGGAGGAACACCGGUGGCGAAGGCGGCGUCCUGGACCGACACUGACGCUGAGGAGCGAAAGCCAGGGGAGCAAACGGG
rnacentral:rRNA from 1 species